rnacentral:rRNA from 1 species
GACGAACGCUGGCGGCGUGCUUAACACAUGCAAGUCGAACGGAAAGGCCCUGCUUUUGUGGGGUGCUCGAGUGGCGAACGGGUGAGUAACACGUGAGUAACCUGCCCUUGACUUUGGGAUAACUUCAGGAAACUGGGGCUAAUACCGGAUAGGAGCUCCUGCUGCAUGGUGGGGGUUGGAAAGUUUCGGCGGUUGGGGAUGGACUCGCGGCUUAUCAGCUUGUUGGUGGGGUAGUGGCUUACCAAGGCUUUGACGGGUAGCCGGCCUGAGAGGGUGACCGGCCACAUUGAGACUGAGAUACGGCCCAGACUCCUACGGGAGGCAGCAGUGGGGAAUAUUGCGCAAUGGGCGGAAGCCUGAUGCAGCAACGCCGCGUGCGGGAUGACGGCCUUCGGGUUGUAAACCGCUUUCGCCUGUGACGAAGCGUGAGUGACGGUAAUGGGUAAAGAAGCACCGGCUAACUACGUG